CAGAAAAAGCUCCGGCUAACUCCCGUGCCAGCAGCCGCGGUAAUACGGGGGGGGGCAAGCGUUGUUCGGAAUUACUGGGCGUAAAGAGCGAGCAGGUGGUUCAUUAAGUCAAUUGUGAAAGCUCAAGGCUUAACCUUGAAAUUGCUUUUGAUACUGAUGGACUAGAGUUUGGGAGAGGAUAGUGGAAUUCUAAGUGUAGAAGUGAAAUUCGUAGAUAUUUAGAGGAACACCGAUAGCGAAGGCAACUAUCUGGCCCUUUACUGACGCUCAGAAGCGAAAGCUUGGGUAGCAAACAGGAUUAGAUACCCUGGUAGUCCAUGCUGUAAACGAUGAGUGCUAGAUGUUAGAAGUUUACUUCUAGUAUCGAAGCUAACGCGUUAAGCACUCCGCCUGGGGAGUACGGCCGCAAGGCUAAAACUCAAAUGAAUUGACGGGGACCCGCACAAGCAGUGGAGCAUGUGGUUUAAUUCGACGCUACGCGAAAAACCUUACCAGCUUUUGACAUGCUAAGUUUUGAGUUUAAGAGAUUAAAUUCUUCAGUUUGGCUGGGCUUAGCACAGGUGCUGCAUGGCUGUCGUCAGCUCGUGUCGUGAGAUGUUCGGUUAAGUCCGGCAACGAGCGCAACCCUCAUCUUCAGUUACUAACAGGUUAUGCUGAGGACCUUGGAGAAACUGCCGUUGGAAAAGCGGAGGAAGGCGAGGAUGACGUCAAGUCCUCAUGGCCCUUAUGGGCUGGGCUACACACGCGCUACAAUGGUAAUUACAAUAGGUCGCGAAAAGGCAACUUUGAGCUAAUCUUCAAAAAUUAUCUUAGUUCGGAUUGUUCUCUGCAACUCGAGAGCAUGAAGUUGGAAUUGCUAGUAAUCGUGGAUCAGCAUGCCACGGUGAAUACGUUCCCGGGUCUUGUACUCACCGCCCGUC
rnacentral:rRNA from 1 species